UAUGUAGGGGGCUAGCGUUGUCCGGAUUUAUUGGGCGUAAAGAGCGUGUAGGCGGCCAGAUAGGUCGGUUGUGAAAACUGGAGGCUUAACCUUCAGACGUCGACCGAAACCAUCUGGCUAGAGUCCGGAAGAGGAGAGUGGAAUUCCUGGUGUAGCGGUGAAAUGCGCAGAUAUCAGGAAGAACACCCGUGGCUAAGGCGGCUCUCUAGUACGGUACUGACGCUGAGACGCGAAAGCGUGGGGAGCGAACAGG
rnacentral:rRNA from 1 species